GAGUUUGAUCCUGGCUCAGGAUAAACGCUGGCGGCGCACAUAAGACAUGCAAGUCGAACGGACUUAAUCAGUUUGUUUACAAAUUGAAGCGGUUAGUGGCGGACUGGUGAGUAACACGUAAGCAACCUGCCUAUUAGAGGGGAAUAACAGUGAGAAAUCACUGCUAAUACCGCAUAUGCCAUAAUCACCACAUGGUGGAAGUGGGAAAGGAGAAAUCCGCUAAUAGAUGGGCUUGCGUCUGAUUAGCUAGUUGGUGGGGUAAAGGCCUACCAAGGCGACGAUCAGUAGCCGGACUGAGAGGUUGAACGGCCACAUUGGGACUGAGAUACGGCCCAGACUCCUACGGGAGGCAGCAGUCGGGAAUAUUGCGCAAUGGAGGAAACUCUGACGCAGUGACGCCGCGUAUAGGAAGAAGGUUUUCGGAUUGUAAACUAUUGUCGUUAGGGAAGAAAAAAGACAGUACCUAAGGAGGAAGCUCCGGCUAACUACGUGCCAGCAGCCGCGGUAAUACGUAGGGAGCAAGCGUUAUCCGGAUUUAUUGGGUGUAAAGGGUGCGUAGACGGGAAUUUAAGUUAGUUGUGAAAUCCCUCGGCUUAACUGAGGA
rnacentral:rRNA from 1 species